GUUUUAAUAGUUUAAAUAAAACUUUGAAUUUGUAAUUCAAAAUUAAGAUAAAGUCUUUUAAAACU
rnacentral:tRNA from 1 species